rnacentral:rRNA from 1 species
UACGUAGGGGGCAAGCGUUGUCCGGAAUCAUUGGGCGUAAAGCGCGUGUAGGCGGUUCGGUAAGUCCGCUGUGAAAGUCGGGGGCUCAACCCUCGAAAGCCGGUGGAAACUGUCGGGCUAGAGUACGGAAGAGGCGAGUGGAAUUCCUGGUGUAGCGGUGAAAUGCGCAGAUAUCAGGAGGAACACCUAUUGCGAAGGCAGCUCGCUGGGACGUUACUGACGCUGAGACGCGAAAGCGUGGGGAGCAAACAGG